rnacentral:lncRNA from 1 species
AAACAAAUACAAAAUUGAGUAUAAAGUUAUGACACGACACUCAUACUCAGACAUCACACUGACAUUUUCAUAUUUUACGACAUUAUUUAACACAUUUGACAAUUUUUUGCUUGGAAGGGAGAAUAUGAAAAGUUAUGGUUCAACUCUCUCACUAAUAAUUGAAAGAUAAGGACGGGUGUAAAUGAUGUGAGAUAAACCUCUCCAGUAACCAAAUUUUUAUAAGGUUUAAACUUCUUUUUGUCUCUAAGUUAUAAGUUGGUGUUCAGUUUAGUUUCCAUUUUUUCAAAUGUCAAUCUUUGGUCCCUAAGUUAUAAAAAAAUGUUUCAAAUCAGUCCCUACCGUUAAAUAUUCACUAAUGGAGUUAACUUUUUCUUUCUCUCUCUUCUACUCCUCUGAAUUUUUCUGAACAUUUUCUCUCUAUUUCUUCUUCUUUAUAUAUUUUUCUCUCUCCUCAUUCAAAACUCACCACCACCAAACCAUCCUCCAGCACCACCACCUCCACCUUCUCCUCCUCCUCUGCCAAAUCCUCCUCCACCUCCACCAUCAAAUUUUUAAGAUUUACACCAACGCCUGCUUCUAAAUCCACUAACUAGUAUAUUUUCCAGAUCAGUCAUAAUGAUUAUUGAAUAUAAAAAUUCAUAUCAGAAAAAUGCAGUUAAAUAUGUCAGAAAAAGGGUUAGAACUGGACUCAAAUUUUAAGAAAAUCUCAUUCAUAAUUAUAUAGUUGAACAUUUGACACAGUUUUAGUUCAUAAUUUUGCAGUAUGAAGCAAAGUUGCAUGUGAUCAGAGUACCCUAGAGGGUGUCCACUUUCAUUAUCCCAUCACGAAGUUACUACAAUCAGCCCACAUAGUCACGGAUCAUGUGCCCUCCGAGGUGAUGAUGUCGAAGUUGGUCCUCUUGCAAUUGUUGUUGGUGUUGUACUCCUUCAACGCCAUGUCUAAGACCCAAUGUCAGUGACACAGAAACAAGUCCUCCAACCUCAAGGUCACCACGUCGGUAUGGCACAAAACCCAUCAAUGUACCAUCCAUAUUGUUUGAAGUCAUUUACCACUAUUCUCUCUGCUG